rnacentral:rRNA from 1 species
GACGAACGCUGGCGGCGUGCUUAACACAUGCAAGUCGAACGGAAAGGCCCUGCUUUUGUGGGGUGCUCGAGUGGCGAACGGGUGAGUAACACGUGAGUAACCUGCCCUUGACUUUGGGAUAACUUCAGGAAACUGGGGCUAAUACCGGAUAGGAGCUCCUGCUGCAUGGUGGGGGUUGGAAAGUUUCGGCGGUUGGGGAUGGACCCACGGCUUAUCAGCUUGUUGGUGGGGUAGUGGCUUACCAAGGCUUUGACGGGUAGCCGGCCUGAGAGGGUGACCGGCCACAUUGGGACUGAGAUACGGCACAGACUCCUACGGGAGGCAGCAGUGGGGAAUAUUGCACAAUGGGCGGAGGCCUGAUGCAGCAACGCCGCGUGCGGGAUGACGGCCUUCGGGUUGUAAACCGCUUUCGCCUGUGACGAAGCGUGAGUGACGGUAAUGGGUAAAGAAGCACCGGCUAACUACGUG